GAAUAGGAGUUGUUGAUGCCAGAACCUUCGAAGGAGAGGCUGAGCUUUUCUGAGAAGUCCAAAAGAUCAUCAGCAUACAGAAAAGUUUCAAAUGUAGAAAAGUAUACUUGUAAGUAGACCAAUUUAAUUACCUUCCUCCUGACGAUAAGAGGGGCAUCAUCGUCAUCAUCAACAUCAUCCUCCAGAAUGGGAGAUGUUGAGGCUGGCCGUUUGCGGCUUGGGGCACUCUUGGCCGUAGUAGGCUUGGCAGGGAGAGAAGAAGAUGGACGAGCAGAAUGUUUAGUGCGACGAGAAGGAGAAGGACUCCGAAUGGACAAGGGAGUGACUAAAACAGGAGGAAGAGAAGAAAUGCUCGGUUGGUCUAAUAAAUGAAAGGCACGAUUGGCGUCAGUCGCAAAUAAUCUGCGCUUCACUGACGACUAGAGCUGCUCAAAAAGAGGGUGAGUGGCAUGACAAGAAUUAAAAGGGGCUAAUGAAAAGUGGCUUGAUAAAUGGA
rnacentral:lncRNA from 1 species